rnacentral:rRNA from 1 species
UACAGAGGGGGCAAGCGUUAUUCGGAAUCAUUGGGCGUAAAGGGCGCGUAGGUGGCGCGGUCAGUUCGUGGUGAAAGCGCGGGGCUCAACCCCGCGUCGGCCAUGAAUACUGCUGGGCUGGAGCACUGUAGAGGCAGGCGGAAUUCCGGGUGUAGCGGUGGAAUGCGUAGAGAUCCGGAAGAACACCGGUGGCGAAGGCGGCCUGCUGGGCAGUAGCUGACACUGAGGCGCGACAGCGUGGGGAGCAAACAGG